rnacentral:lncRNA from 1 species
CUAUUUUGGCCUUUUUUUCCAUUUUCCUUUUAUUUUAAGUUGUAAAACUUUAUUGAGAGAUGGUUAGCAGUCAAAUUUCCAACACAAGGACAGCAUGCUUGGCUUCAGUCUGUCUCUGUUUAAAUCUGUGGUUGUCCUUCACCAGCUUCUGGCAUUUUAACAGGCUCUAGAAUUGGUAGAAUCUCCUUCUUGACAUCAGGACCACCUCCAGGCUCAUCCACAGUCUUCAAGAGAACCAGUUUCUACUGAUCAGCUUCCAUAUCAGCCCUUUGAGCUACAGAUGCUCCUUCAUCUUCAAUGUCAUAAGCAGGUAUAAUAUCCUGACUCUCAGUUUGUGGUUCUUCUAGUUGAGGUUGUUUAUCACUGGGCUGCUGAGCAACCAGAGGUCUAACUGGCUGGGAAGACUCUCCAUCAUUUCUUCUUCCUGCAGAUUUGGAUCUUGUUCUGACAUGCCCACUCAUAUUUCCCAACUUAACUCCCAGGAGUAUUGCUAUGAGGAUCUAUUGGCUGAGUUUCAUUCAGCAAGGAAGAAUCCAAAUGGCAGGAACACGAUCUGCCCUGCACAGCUGCUGUUGGUCUUUUUUCUUACCUCUGUAUCUUCUAAGUCUGCACCAUAUGCAUGGGCCUGCCUUUACUGCCGUGUACCACUCCAGACAGCAUGCAGAGUUGGUGGAGAGUAUAACAAACAUCAGAGAUAUUUUGCAAUUCAUGGCUGACCCAUGCUGAUCCUUUCUUUAAUUAAACCUUCCACUUGUGAAUGAAUCAUUUCUUCCAUUAAUUAAAACAGGAUACACUUAUGUCUCUGUAAAGUAUGUGUCAAAAGAAAGCAUUCCACCUAAAAUAUAUACAGGAGGCGCUGACCACCGCGGAGAGUCAUCCAUCAUAGUCUGCUAAAAAGAUCAGCUCUGGAAUUAGAACGAGCACAAUCAUCUCUUAUGCCCUCCAAAAUACAGGUUGCAGCUUCUCACCCGAUCUGUCAGCUCCUGUGCUAAUAUAGGGAGUAAAGCAUAGUGUGAAGCCGCAAGAGGACCGUUUAUUUUGUAGGGCAGGGCAGGCGGCCCCAGCGCUCCGGUAAUGCCAUCAUCUCUAAUAACUGCUUGGAGCCUGUGCUCUCUGGAGACUUGUCUCUUGAUUGUUAGAGCUGGAAGGCAGCGGAAUCUCACUGUUGGCGAGGCUCAACAAUUGCUCCUGCGGUUCCUCCGAAAGCCAAGAGGAUGACUGAGAAAUCUGACGGCGCUGUUUAGGUGGACAAAGCAAGUUCGUGUUCCCACUCACCCCCACCGUCUCCUUCUGGAAGAAGUGGGCUGCAGAAAUCGAUUUGCAGUCUUUAGCUCCAGGAAACAGUGAGCCCAUGCAGCCACUGUUCAAAAUAUUUUGCCUCAGAGGAAACUCUGCCCUCUCCAAACUCCAAAGACCUCGAUGAAGUACAUAACCAUGUUUAAAAAUCACCACUGGGGAUUCUCCAGGCAAGAUGAAAAGGAAAGAAGGAUAAAGCACUGAGAAACUCAAAGUGCCUCAGGUCCUCUAAAAACAAGUUUUAAAUAUCCCGCAAGAUUUCAAAUGCAGCAAUUUUUGAGAAAGCGCGACAUUGUAAAGCCUGUUCUCUCGGUGAAGUGUCAGGCUCCAUAGGAGUAGGAAUGAUAAACACUCUUCCUGCAUAUUUAGGAGGCUGUUUCAGAAGACGCCAAGUGAUUGCUAAAACAGUCGUGCAAUUUAGUGUGUUUUAGUACCACAAUUUUCUGUCCAAUACUAACUGCUCUUUUAUUUUUCCUUCAAUUAAUCCUGUAAGGCGGGUGCAAAAAUGUAGGAAUGAUAAGGACAUUUGCCAUCAUUGGGGCUAUUUCCAAUGGUGAAAGGAAGGACUGGAAAGGUGAAGUGACUUGUCCAAGGCCAAGGGCAGGUUCAUGGCAGAGCCAGGGCUCCCAACUAUGUCUCCUCUCUCACAGUCCUGGGCUCUUUCCCCUGUGUUUCUAAUGAGGACUGAGUCAAGGGUGAUUUAUUCCCCCAGCACAGUGCUAGGUACAGUGCCUGUGGAUUGAUUAAUGCAUUGAUUCCCACAGAAUAAGAGAUUUGAGAUUACUUGACAAAUCUCUCAAGUACUCAGGAAAAAAAAAAUCAAUAGUUUUUCUUUGACUUCAAGUCCAAAUUAUUCGUAGUAUUUCAGAGGUACUCUCCUCCUGCCUUCAAUACUUCUCCGAUACUCACUGGCUUGUCUCCUGGGUCAAGAUAUAUCAGACUGAAAAGAGGAGGUAUAUGAGAGAUAUAACAAUUAGUGGAAAUGGACCAUAACACUGGAGAAUUAAUUGUUCACAUGGUAUAGAGUAGUGAUUAAGAACAUUGACUCUGGAGUCAAGUUGCCCUGGGUUCAAAUGCUAGCUUUGACAUUUAGAAGAUGUGUAGUCUAAGAUCACUGAUUGCGGGCUUUUUAAAUCCCGGGGCCUCAGUUUUCUCCUCUGUAAAAUGGAAAUUUUAGUACCUACUUUACAGGCUUGACUCAAGGAUAAAUUUUAAAAUCUGGCUCCCUUUAUAUGUGUGAUUUAAUGACAUAUUCAAACAGUAACAUUAGAACAAGAGCUAUGAAAAAAUUAGACCAUUAAACUUGCUUUAUAUUGAUUGAAGCCCUAAUACUAGGUCGUUUUUGAGAGAAGA